CUUCGGUCUCUCUCUCGCUCUCUGUACCCCGGCUCGCAGCAUCCAGUGUCAUCCUCUCCAGGAGGCCUCUGUUUGGUGGAUGUCCGCUGUGGCGGUGCUGGUGACCCUCCGGGGCGGCUCCUGCGGGAGCAGUGCCCUAGUAACAACCUCUGUGAGCCGCCCUGUAGCGCCCGGCGGAUAAUCCGGUCCCACGCGCGGGUGUGGAAUGUGCAGACCGAGGCCGUGGGAUCCGAAGGAGGGUUCAGAAUAUGGAGUCUGCAUCUGUGCAGCCACAGGACCAUGUGUCAGUGUUGGGUGUUUGGAAGAGAUGACGACAUGCAUUAACUGAAGCCGGAAAUGAUGGUACUGGAAGUGUGUUGGAGUACCCACAAUGCAUAUGGCGGCUGAUCAGCAGACUCCUCGGCAUCCAGCUAAUGUGUUCAGUCGGUGCAGUCAUUCGUGUGACCCAGAUGCUGCUGCUGGUCUCCAGGUGGAGUUCUUGGUUUGUCCAGCAGGUGGCAGUGUAUAGAUACAGCCUGCAACUUUUACCAAAUAAAGCUUUAUCAGAACACACAA